GGUUCUGCAACAACCAACCAGAAUGCAAACACAGAGAGGAUGAAAGUCCGAACAGUUGCUUUAAUCGUCCAAAAGGGUCCAUUGACUUGCAGUGGCUGAAAUAGCUAGUAGUUUGAUUAGAUUUCUAGUAAAACCAUCUUGCUUUGACCAUACGACAAAGAAUAAAAAUUAACUUAUGUUAAACAUA